rnacentral:rRNA from 1 species
AGUGAACGCUGGCGGUAGGCCUAACACAUGCAAGUCGAACGGCAGCACAGUAAGAGCUUGCUCUUACGGGUGGCGAGUGGCGGACGGGUGAGGAAUACAUCGGAAUCUACUUUUUCGUGGGGGAUAAUGUAGGGAAACUUACGCUAAUACCGCAUACGACCUACGGGUGAAAGCAGGGGAUCUUCGGACCUUGCGCGAUUGAAUGAGCCGAUGUCGGAUUAGCUAGUUGGCGGGGUAAAGGCCCACCAAGGCGACGAUCCGUAGCUGGUCUGAGAGGAUGAUCAGCCACACUGGAACUGAGACACGGUCCAGACUCCUACGGGAGGCAGCAGUAGGGAAUAUUGGACAAUGGGCGAAAGCCUGAUCCAGCCAUACCGCGUGGGUGAAGAAGGCCUUCGGGUUGUAAAGCCCUUUUGUUGGGAAAGAAAAGCAGCAGGUUAAUACCCCGCUGUUCUGACGGUACCCAAAGAAUAAGCACCGGCUAACUUCGUG